AUUGAACGCUGGCGGCAGGCCUAACACAUGCAAGUCGAGCGGAUGAAGGGAGCUUGCUCCUGGAUUCAGCGGCGGACGGGUGAGUAAUGCCUAGGAAUCUGCCUGGUAGUGGGGGAUAACGUCCGGAAACGGGCGCUAAUACCGCAUACGUCCUGAGGGAGAAAGUGGGGGAUCUUCGGACCUCACGCUAUCAGAUGAGCCUAGGUCGGAUUAGCUAGUUGGUGGGGUAAAGGCCUACCAAGGCGACGAUCCGUAACUGGUCUGAGAGGAUGAUCAGUCACACUGGAACUGAGACACGGUCCAGACUCCUACGGGAGGCAGCAGUGGGGAAUAUUGGACAAUGGGCGAAAGCCUGAUCCAGCCAUGCCGCGUGUGUGAAGAAGGUCUUCGGAUUGUAAAGCCCUUUUAGUUGGGAGGAAGGGCAGUAAGUUAAUACCUUGCUGUUUUGACGUUACCAACCGAAUAAGCACCGGCUAACUUCGUG
rnacentral:rRNA from 1 species